CGCGCGAUACAGGGUGACAGCCCCGUACACAAAAGCGCAUGUGCUGUGAGCUCGAUGAGUAGGGCGGGACACGUGGUAUCCUGUCUGAAUAUGGGGGGACCAUCCUCCAAGGCUAAAUACUCCUGACUGACCGAUAGUGAACCAGUACCGUGAGGGAAAGGCGAAAAGAACCCCGGCGAGGGGAGUGAAAAAGAACCUGAAACCGUGU
rnacentral:rRNA from 1 species